AGCUUUGCGCAGUGGCAAUAUCAUAGCCCAUGAGGUUUAACUGAGGUGUGAUUAUUGCUAGUUGAAAACUUUACCCAAUACCCCGCUGCACUGGCUUGAAAGAGUCUGUGUUAGUAGUUUUUGUCAGUCUCUGCAGAGA
rnacentral:snRNA from 1 species